UCGCUGCUAGAUGAGCCCGCGUCCGAUUAGCUAGUUGGCGGGGUAAUGGCCCACCAAGGCUAUGAUCGGUAGCUGGUCUGAGAGGACGAUCAGCCUCACUGGGACUGAGACACGGCCCAG
rnacentral:rRNA from 1 species